rnacentral:lncRNA from 1 species
UUCCUCUCCCUCGGGACGGGGCUUCCCUGCAGCUCUUCUCCACCAGGUUUCAGCCUCCAGCAGUCUCAGCCUUUGGGCCUGGGAUACAAUGACUCCUGAAAUCAAGAGAAAAAAGCUGGAUCUGACCGGAACCGCUCUGAAAGAGUGCGGUCUCUCUGGUUUCUAAAGACGUGCUCUGUGUCUGACAUUAAACUGCGGGUGUGUUUUGGGCUGGAGACCAGGAGGGAGUCCGUUGUGCCCCGAGCAGCAAUGGACAUCUACUUUUUAUUACAUGCGUUGUUGCUCCUGAAAUUAGUGUGGUGUUAGAAAUAUGAUUUAUUGAUGGUGCAAACACGCGUGUGCUGAGGGCGGCGGGUGUGCACGGCAGGGAACCCUCGGGGUACAGACUUCCCUGGAAAUGUGUGCCAUGCGCCUGCCUCCAGGGUCUCCUUUAUUUCUGGGUCUGUAACUUUUUUAUUCAGCUGUUGGGAAAGGAACCCAAAUCCUAACUUUGCCAAACACCCCAGUGCUUUUUGGUGACAGAGGGUGUCAGUUUCCUUGUGUUCGAGCCAGACCCAAAUUCAAAUAAGAAGCAAGGAAAGAAACAGGAUCUGAAAAAUAUGUUAAUGCUGCUGGAGCUCCACUUUAUUUCACAUAAUUAAUUUCCCGUUUCUACCCUCUUACUUCGAAGUGAUGGAGUGGUGAAAUUUUGCCUCUGUUGGUAAACAGGUGAGUAAAUAUCUUGUCCCAGGAGCUUGGAGAGCCGUGUUCCACCGGGCAGGGGGUGGGGGUGGGGGUGGGCGGUGCUCUGCAGGCACCGGAGCUGAGACCUUCAUCCUGCAGGGUCAGCUGUGACCUUGGCCCGGCCUGCCGCCUGGCCAACCAGAUCUGUAAAACCAGAGGGUAUUUUCUCUCCCAGGGCGAUAUUUACCCAGGGAUUCCCUUGGCAAGAGUUGGGACAUUUUUCCGGAAGAGGAGCCCGGUGAAAUAUUUAAUAAAUAAAAUCCAUUAAGAAGACCAUGUUGACCAGAUCUCCUCAAAUUUCCUCCAGGUAAGUGCAGUGAUAAAGGCCACCAGCAGCUGGGGUGGGCGUGUGAGUGGCCAGGCACACGCUUGCCC